GAUCUGAACACCCCCACACGUGGAUCUCAUCACCCUCACAGGUGAAACUGACCACUCCCACGGGUGGACUUAGUCACCCUGCAGGCCUGCCGGAGAUCAGAGGCCUAGAUUAUUGAAGGAGACGCCUUUGAGAUGCCCAAGCCGUUGCCGUGACAACCCCCAGAGGGCGGGAGAUGGCGAGGGAGGCGGCGGCUGACUGUUGGAUGGCGAGGGCUCUUCAGGCCGGAGUGGGGAUAAUCCCAACCCCGGGGCAGCUGAGUGGAGGGCUCCCUGCACAAGAGGCUCUCGGCUCACCUGCAGGACCACCCCCGUCCACAGAGGCCUUGGCGAGCAGCCGGGGUGCUCAGGGCCAUACGGCUCAACCAUGACACUUUUCUUAAAGCUGGUGAAAGAGCAGUGUAGGUGAAAUUCCCCAGCUUUGGCAGCUAGCUGCUAGUUAUCAUUCACGACCGUGGUUCCCGUGCAGUGCCAAGAGCUCAAGCUCUGCCUCAGAGCCACCUGUGUUGAACCUCAGUCCAGCUGUGUGACUUGGGCUGUCACUCAACCUCUCUGAGUCUUGCGCUGACAACAUCUGCCUCGCUGGUUUGCUGCUGUCCCAAGAGGACCUCCCAGAGGUCAAGCGCGUGGGCUCUGGAGCCACAGCAUCAGGGUUUCGACUCCAGCUCUGCCACUCUCGAGCUGUGUGACCUUGGGCAAUCACCCACCCUUCUGAGCCUCCAUUUCCUCAUCUGAAAAAUGGAGAUCAAGGUACCCAACUCAAAUGCAUUGAUAUACGUGAGGCACAGAUGCAGCCGAUAAAUGUUUAUUAUCUAAUAUCCUCAGGACCAACAGACAUGGAGAGGACUGCUGUCCCCAGUCUACAUACCAAAAGGAAUCCGAGGCCUCCCAAUGGUUAGACACCCCUUCCGAGGGCUAUCUCCACCCUGGAAUUUACAUCCCAGCUUGUUUGAGUGCAAAGCUGGCGUUGGCUCCUCUGUGAACCAUCGUAGUUCUACAGGGAACAAAACAUCACACACACAGUACACACACACACACACACACACACACAC
ensembl:lncRNA